ACGCUUGCAAAGCGCCGCCAAAGCAGCAUAAGAAGGCUUCUAUUGCUAUGUAACUAUAACGGUCCUAAGGUAGCGAAAUUUCUUGUCGGGUAAGUUCCGACCCACACGAAAGGCG
rfam:Nicotiana attenuata strain TT chromosome 10, whole genome shotgun sequence.